rnacentral:rRNA from 1 species
UACGUAGGGGGCGAGCGUUGUCCGGAGUUACUGGGCGUAAAGGGCACGCAGGCGGUCUGACGCGUUUGGAGUGACAGCUCUGGGCUUAACCCAGAGAGCGUUUCAAAAACGGUUGGACUUGAGGGCCAGAGAGGGACAUGGAACUCCGGGUGGAGUGGUGAAAUGCGUAGAGAUCCGGAAGAACACCAAAGGCGAAGGCAGUGUCCUGGCUGGUACCUGACGCUCAGGUGCGAAAGCGAGGGGAGCGAACGGG